GAUGAAGAACGCAGCGAAAUGCGAUAAGUAAUGUGAAUUGCAGAAUUCAGUGAAUCAUCGAAUCUUUGAACGCACAUUGCGCCCGCCAGUAUUCUGGCGGGCAUGCCUGUUCGAGCGUCAUUUCAACCAUCAAGCCCCAGGCUUGUGUUGGGGACCUGCGGCUGCCGCAGGCCCUGAAAACCAGUGGCGGGCUCGCUGUCACACCGGGCGUAGUAGAUUUUAUCUCGCUCAGGGCGUGCUGCGGGUUCCGGCCGUUAAAAUGCCUUUUUUACCCAAGGUUGACCUCGGAUCAGGUAGGAAGACCCGCUGAACUUAAGCAUAUCAAUAAGCGGAGGA
rnacentral:misc_RNA from 1 species